GACGAACGCUGGCGGCGUGCUUAACACAUGCAAGUCGAACGGAAAGGCCCUGCUUUUGUGGGGUGCUCGAGUGGCGAACGGGUGAGUAACACGUGAGUAACCUGCCCUUGACUUUGGGAUAACUUCAGGAAACUGGGGCUAAUACCGGCUAGGAGCUCCUGCUGCAUGGUGGGGGUUGGAAGGUUUCGGCGGUUGGGGAUGGACUCGCGGCUGAUCAGCUUGUUGGUUGGGUAGUGGCUUACCAAGGCUUUGACGGGUAGCCGGCUUGAGAGGGUGACCGGCCACAUUGGGUGUGAGAGACGGCCCAGCCUCCUACGGGAGGGAGGAGUGGGUAAUAAUGAUUAAUGGGCGGAAGCAUGAUGCAGCAACGACGGGCGCGGGAUGACGGCCUUCGGGUUGGAAACAGCUUUCGCUUGUGACGAAGCGUGAGUGACGGUAAUGGGUAAAGAAGCACCGGCUAACUACGU
rnacentral:rRNA from 1 species